GCCCAGGUGGUGGAAUUGGUAGACGCGCUGGCUUCAGGUGCCAGUGUCCGCAAGGACGUGAAGGUUCGAGUCCUUUCCUGGGCACCA
rnacentral:tRNA from 1 species